ensembl:lincRNA Gm17477 predicted gene, 17477
CCGGACAUUACACCAUUCACAUUUAGUUAGAUCAGAGGUAUUUAAAAUAAUGUCUACAGGAUCACUUUCUGGUCCUAGAGGGAAACAGAGAAAAAUGAAAAAGGAACAAAUUUUUAAGGUGACAAACCAAAAAAUGGAGGAAAUAUAAGCUUAAAAUUAAUAAUUUACUAUACUCUAUACUAUUCUUACUUUUUUGUUGGUUUUUUUUUUUUUUUUUUUUUUUUUNNNNNNNNNNNNNNNNNNNNNNNNNNNNNUCAAACUCAGAAAUCCGCCUGCCUCUGCCUCCCGAGUGCUGGGAUUAAAGGCGUGCGCCACCACUGCCCGGCUUACUCUAUACUAUUCUUAAGAAUUGCAUUAAUAAAACAUAAUUUUUCCAAAUAAAAAGGAGACUCUAAAAUAUUAGGCUUAGUUGCAUUACAAAAUAAAAUUACAUGAAGCCCUUUAUACACUGUAUUAAUUAAUUAAAUAAAUAUUACUAUAAAAUGGAUCAGUAUAAACUUUAGUGCAUGAACAGAUAAAAAUAGCUUACCAUCUAGAUGUAUCGUGAUUGACUCUAAAGAAAACUUUAGAAACAAAAGGACAAAUUAGUGUUGAUGAUAGACGUACUGAGAUUUUUGUUCUACAUACUCUAAGUGGUAUAUAUGGUCCAUAAGUAUACAAAGAGCAGAAAACUGGGUCAUAUACCAUGUGCUUAAAUUUAAGAUGAAAUAUCCCCAUCCCCUGAAAAAAAACCAAAACCUUCUGCUAUUUUGAACUUGAAUAUUACAGAACACUCAUUUCCUAGAUUNNNNNNNNNNNNNNNNNNNNNNNNNNNNNNNNNNNNNNNNNNNNNAUUACUGUUUAUAAAUUAUAUUUUUACUAAAAAAAAAAAAAAAGCCACAAAGCAGGCAGCAGUCAUUACUUCAUCCCUAAAUCCUUCGGCAUGAAGCCUCUAAAUACAAGCACAUUUGCUACACAACUAAAACAUCAGCAAAUCUAAGAGAUCAAAGUUGAACUUCUUCAAUAUACAGUUUAUACUUAAAUGUCCAUCAGUCCUUGUUUUAACUUUCCCUCAGCUAUUAUUACUGUGUCAAUAUUAUACAGCAAAUACCAACUGUGUCCAUACUACAGACUUGCCUCUCUGUUCUUUAGGACAUGGCUUUUAUGAGACCUAAGUUGCAUACACCAUGCAAUCACUAGAGGGUUUCCUUGUCUCCAAAUGCAAUCCCUUCAUUCUCAGGGAGAGCAGCACAUGGCGCUGAGACCCUGCGCUGUGGUCCUGCAAGUGCCAGGCUGUCUCACUGCUCAUGUUAUUAAUUAACUGCCUCAGCAGUGACUGCUGGGAUUUUUGGUCUGCUUCCAUAUUUCUCCAUUUAUAACUAAAUAAUCCGAGCAAAGAUACUUCAAGUCAGUGAAUAUCUUUGAUGCAGUGGUUUUAGCACCCCUGACACUCUUUACCUGAAUUAUUAUUGGUGGUUAUAAAAUGAUAUAAUUUUCUAAUUAUUUCAACGUAGAGAGCACUUAACAUUAAGCCUAAUUAAUAAAUAAAUUAUCUUGGAUGUUUGGAGAAGUUAAGAGAAUCAAAAGAGGAGGCAAAUGUUUUCAUAGGUAUUGAAGAGUAAGAUGUACUAACAGCAAUAAACAGAUAACAUGAGAAGCAAACACAGACCAUGUGUUCCUUAAGCAAAAUUCUAAAGUGUUGAGGACCAAAGGAGAUUCAGGUUUUAGAAAUGUUUGUGUAGAAUAUUCUCUUUAACACUUUAGUGGUUAAAAAUCCCUGAUCUAAAAAAAAAAAAAAUAUUUAAAUUCUCCAAAAUCUAAAACUUCACUGGCAACCAGCACUGAGGACUGAACACAGGCUGAGUGUACUAAGCAUGAGUUCUAUCACUGAGGACUGAACACGGGCUGAGUGUACUGAGCAUGAGUUCUAUCACUGAGGACUGAACACGGGCUGAGUGUACUGAGCAUGAGCUCUAUCGCUGAGGACUGAACACGGGCUGAGUGUACUAAGCAUGAGUUCUAGCACUGAGGACUGAACACAGGCUGAGUGUACUAAGCAUGAGUUCUAGCACUGAGGACUGAACACAGGCUGAGUGUACUGAGCAUGAGUUCUAUCACUGAGGACUGAACACAGGCUGAGUGUACUGAGCAUGAGUUCUAUCACUGAGGUCCACCCCUAAAAUCAACUCAACUUUUUUUUUUUUGAGGCUAAGGAAUGUGCCUCUCAUUUACUAUCCAAGUUGGUUUGUUUUGUUUGCUUGCUUGUAAUCAUGCCACCACACCCAACUUCCUGGUGAUCCUGAUGCCAUCAAGACUCCAAAAUGGCUGGUAGUAUACACCAGCAUAUCUGGCUCAGAGUAUAUAUCACCAUAUCCAGCAAUGCAGUUUAAGUUCCUGUCAAUACUAACGUUUCAGACUUCAGAGAAUUUCUAAUUUUUGGACAAGGGACCCAAACUGUAUAGUAAAAUACCAACU